UACAGAGGGUGCAAGCGUUGUUCGGAAUCAUUGGGCGUAAAGGGCGUGUAGGCGGUUUGGUAAGCCUUCUGUUAAAGCUUCGGGCCCAACCCGGAAAGCGCAGAGGGUACUGCCAGGCUAGAGGACGGGAGAGGAGCGCGGAAUUCCCGGUGUAGCGGUGAAAUGCGUAGAGAUCGGGAGGAAGGCCGGUGGCGAAGGCGGCGCUCUGGAACGUUACUGACGCUGAGACACGAAAGCGUGGGGAGCAAACAGG
rnacentral:rRNA from 1 species